AUCCGGGUUUGAAAACUGAUCCUCUCCACGACUCCGCCUUCAGUUAUCGAUCUCUCCCUACAAUUUAGCCGUUCUAUUUCAAACUGCUUGCGAUUUGAAUAUGCCUAAUUUCAAACUACUCAGUUUUCUGCCGCCAUUGUUCUUCAACCAAAUCCUGUAAUCCGUGUUUAUCGCAACGUUUCCGCCUAUAUGGAUUCAUCUGGUACGUAAGAUUACAUGUUCUCUCCCGGAGGUGUCUUCGUCACUUCAUUUUAUGUUCUUAAUAUGUGAAACAGGUCUGAAACGAUUUCCUUCUUCCAUCCGUGGCCGUGAGUUUCAUAGAGGUCUUUUGUGAGUUUCAUAAAGGUCUUUUGCCAUUCCUGCUUGCUUUGAUUCAAUUUAGGUUAAGAUUCUUGGGUUGUAAACUCUUUUCAAGUUGUAUGCAUCUAAUUGUUAUCUGGUUAAACUCUUUUUCUGGCUGGUUUAAACUUUUAAUGAUAUUAAUUGGCGCUUGCCUUUUGUGACAACUUUGCGAUGAAACAGUAGGUUUUCUAUGUUGAGGAAUUAGGAUCCUCAACAUGUAAAAGUGUAAGCAUGCCUUAGAUUCGGGAAGGAUACCCUUUAAGAAAGCCGAUGUGUGGAUUUUGGCGUAUUUUACAUGUAAUGAGAUGUUUAGAAUUAUAAAUUAUGAGUAGUUGAGCAAUUUAUUGGAAUUUUAAUCUAGAGAUUUUAUGAUUUUAUGAUACUUUCUUUUAUCUCAAAAAAUUACAUGCACAAUUUUUUUAUAAAAUUUGGAGGGGUCUCAUUUGUAUUUACUACUAAUAAUUUUAGUUAGUUAAGAUGAAUUUUAUAUUUAAAAUUUGAUUCAUUGCUGAUAUUCUAGCUUUGCUGAGAUUCCUCUGGCAGUAAUCAAGUAAAAACCAAAUUCACAAACUAAACAAUAUAAGCUCUUAAGCUGAUAAGCGAUGCACACAUAUCUAUUAUUAAUAUCAAUAGUGGCUAUUAGUAUAAUUGCAUCGCUUCAAUGUAAUAUUUGUAUGCUGCUAUGAAUUUCUACCAUUUUUACCUUGAAUUUCUUUCGCUUCUUUUGUUUGCCUAGAGUGCAGUUUGAUCAUGUCCUCCCUGCCCUACCAAUGACUCUGCAGUGGUAUAUCGGAUUAGACUUUAUAGUAAUUAAUUUCUUAUCUUAUUUUGCUGAUGAAUAUGGUGGAAUGCAUUAUGUGCAGGAAAAUGAAGAUGGAAUGUCUUGAUUAAUAUCUCAUAUAUAUAUAUUCCAGUGAGCCUAAAUUCUGGAGCAACUAUUGGCCGAACAUUAUUCGCAAACCCUCCAAAAAUUUAACAAGACUGUGCCAAAUUCAAGUUUUAAGACUCCAACACGUGCUGAUAAUGUUGCCAACAGCCCUCACACUCCACACAAGGUUCUGCCGUUACACAAGUCACCAGGGCCAAAUCCGUGAAUCAGACAGAUGCAUUUAAGCUCCCAGAUCUAAAGAAGUACAUGGACAAGAAGCUUCAAAUUAAGAUGAAUGCUGAUAGCAUUUUUGUUGGCACCCUUCGUGGUUUUGAUCAGUUCAUGAACCUGGUGAUUGACAACACCAUGGAGGUGAAUGGUGAUGAGAGAAAUGAUAUUGGCAUGGUGGUUAUUAAAGGAAAUAGCUUGGUCACUGUUGAAGCACUUGAGCUGGUGCUAAUAUGUUGUGAUUUUA